GAGUUUGAUCCUGGCUCAGAGCGAACGCUGGCGGCAGGCUUAACACAUGCAAGUCGAACGGGCGCAGCAAUGCGUCAGUGGCAGACGGGUGAGUAACACGUGGGAACGUGCCUUUCGGUUCGGAACAACUGAGGGAAACUUCAGCUAAUACCGGAUACGCCCGCAAGGGGAAAGAUUUAUCGCCGAAAGAUCGGCCCGCGGCUGAUUAGCUAGUUGGUGAGGUAAUGGCUCACCAAGGCGACGAUCAGUAGCCGACCUGAGAGGGUGACCGGCCACACUGGAACUGAGACACGGUCCAGACUCCUACGGGAGGCAGCAGUGGGGAAUAUUGCGCAAUGGGGGAAACCCUGACGCAGCAACGCCGCGUGGAGGAAGAAGGUCUUCGGAUUGUAAACUCCUGUCUUCUGGGACGAUAAUGACGGUACCAGAGGAGGAAGCCACGGCUAACUACGUGCCAGCAGCCGCGGUAAUACGUAGGUGGCGAGCGUUGUCCGGAAUUACUGGGCGUAAAGGGCGCGUAGGCGGCUCUUUAAGUCAGAUGUGAAAACCCAGGGCUUAACCUUGGGAGUGCAUUUGAAACUGAGGGGCUCGAGUGCAGGAGAGGUAAGUGGAAUUCCUAGUGUAGCGGUGAAAUGCGUAGAUAUUAGGAGGAACACCAGUGGCGAAGGCGACUUACUGGACUGUAACUGACGCUGAGGCGCGAAAGCGUGGGGAGCAAACAGGAUUAGAUACCCUGGUAGUCCACGCUGUAAACGAUGGAUACUAGGUGUGGGAGGUAUCGACCCCUUCCGUGCCGCAGUAAACGCAAUAAGUAUCCCGCCUGGGGAGUACGACCGCAAGGUUGAAACUCAAAGGAAUUGACGGGGGCCCGCACAAGCAGCGGAGCAUGUGGUUUAAUUCGAAGCAACGCGAAGAACCUUACCAGAACUUGACAUCGUCUGCAUUACCCGUAACGGGGGAAAUCCUUCGGGACAGAUAGACAGGUGGUGCAUGGUUGUCGUCAGCUCGUGUCGUGAGAUGUUGGGUUAAGUCCCGCACGAGCGCAACCCUUGUCAUUAAUUGCCAUCAUAAGUGGGCACUUUAAUGAGAACUGCCGGUGACAACUGAGAAGUGGGGAUGACGUCCAGUCUUCAUGUCCUAUGGUAGGCUUCACACGUCAUACAAUGUCCGGUCAGAGGUGCUAACCGGCAAGGGUGAGCCAAUCUCUCAGAAAAGCCGAUG
rnacentral:rRNA from 1 species